UUCAUUAUACAGUGAAUGAUGCUGCAACGCGUGCUGACAUCCCCAGAGAGAGCCUGUUUGCAUUCUUCUGAGUGGUAUCUGCAGAACCACUGAACCAGCUUCAUCAGUCUGAUUUUUAUGCAAAUGAAGAAUCAUCUGAUUAAGGGCGGUGACUCAAACUUCUUUUUGGGCAUGAGCAUGAGCCUAAACCAUUCCAGAGUGCAUCACAUUUGAGGUCUCCCAAGAAGCUUUCUUGGAACAUCAUUUUGGUCCACUCAAAAACAAGAUUCAAGGGUGUUUUACACCAGAGAAGGAUGCCUUUUGUCAAGAGUACCCCUCCCCUUGGAAGCUGGUUUCAGAUGGUGGCUUAGAGUAUUGUCAUCGAUCUAGCACCAUUUGAAAUCAGUGUUCUUUGGGUGGGAAGUGUAUUUCCCCUGCCAGCAACACGCGGCUGUGACAUGUGACGAGAGGCGUCCCGGAGAUGAAGGUAUUACUCCCUGAAGAACUACUCGGUGGGCUUCAAACCAUCGGUCUGUGGUGAUGUUCUAACCGCUCACGCUCUUUGUCCUCUCUCCAAGGUUGACCGAUUUCUUUUGGUGUUCAGAGCUGCUUUUGUUUCUAGCACCAUUUGAAAUUGGUUACAGUGAAGGACAGAUCAUCUUAUCUUACCUUGAGGAGGAUUUUGCAAGUAAGCUGUGCUCUUUAUUUUGCGGAUUGUUGAUUGACUGUAGUGAAAAUACAAAUUAAACAAAAGUACUCUCA